AGAAUCUGAACAGAAAAACAUAGAAUGGUAUAUAUAGAUAGAUAGCAAAUCUGGACUACAUUAAUCACAUCCAAAACUUUGUAUCCUAAUUACACUACAAAUUCAUACAUUCAUACAUAUACACACAAUAAUCUAUAGCCCUUUACCUUCACUUUCGGCCACCAUUUGAUCCAAUUCUUCCCUGAAACAAAUUGUUAAGCCGAGCUUCAAUGUCCUCCAUUCCAAACUUGAUAUACUUAUCACCAUUCUUAGCAAGCUCCGGAAUAAUUUGAAACCUUCCAAUAAAGCUUCCAUAUGCAGGCAACAAGAGCUUUUCAACUGAGAUCCUUAAUUCUUCCCUGAGUUGCUCAUCAAAGACAAACCACUGAGAUUGAACCCGGCAUAUCUCUUCAAAAUGAAGAUUGAACAUCUUUAGUUUCUCCUUCAUUGGCUUUGCAGCCAGUGUUUCCACCUUCAGAAAUCCUAGCAACUUGUUCCACGAGCUUCUUUGAUAGUUCAUAUGACAUUGCCGCACUUUUGUACUGUGUUUUCUUAUCCAAUCAUCACCCAAAAGGGUUCCCAAUUCACUGUCUUUAGUCUUCUGAACAAUGUAUCUCCCAUUAUUCAUCAUAAAAACAGAGCAUAAAGCAGGGUCUUUGUAAAGUUUAGACUUUGCAUCCAAAUUGCGUUCUAACAAGUCCAUAAUCCAUGAAAUUUGAACAGAAAAUGGAGAAUUUGAUUGCAACCUAUCAUCAUGCUUAGGGUAAUCCUUCAAAGAAAGUGCAUUGUCUUUGAAAACAAGUUCUAGGGUUUGAUGUGACCGACACACAGCACGAAGGUAGUUCAUCACGUAGCGAGUGAUGGGAUGCAGACCACCACCGGGAACAACCGCCUUCACAGGAUCACGGCUAAUCAGAUUCUCAAGUUCGAUGAAAAUCCCGCUUAUUGCUUCUCCUAACCUCUUCCAAAUUGUGAUAGCUUCAUUUACAAGGAACGAGCAAUACUGAUCAGAGAACAAUGCUUCAAACUCGGGAAUUAGGUCACGCAAUGUCUCAAACACGUCAAGGACUCUAAACAACCGCUCCGGCGUGCGACUACCAAUGGCUACAGCAUCAGCGAAAUUCAGCAACUGAAUCGCCGAUCCACGACAGACCUCCAUGAAGGAGAGAUCAGCGACAGCGGAUGAAGAAGACAAACCGGAGAAAACACGAUCACCGAGUCGCCGCUCGCUUGGGAAGAGGAUUUUAAGAGCAACGUUAGAGGCUUUAAUCCAUCGCUCAAUCUCGUCUUCAAGCUCCUGCCAUGGCAUCUUAUGAACCUCUGAAAUGCUCAGUUUCUGUAACCCUAACCUCGACAAACUCUCUUCCAAGAACUCCCUCCUGCAACCUCCGUACACGUGCGAGCACUCCUUCCCAAACCCCGCCGCAAGCAUACGUUUCGCGAUUUCCCUGAGACCGUUAACCGUCGCCGGCGGAAGCGCGUCUAUCACCACGUUGUAAUCAACAACCGCCUUCGCCACCGGAAUCAAGUCCUCUUCACCGUCAACUUCUCCUUCAUCCUCCUCCUCGUCGUUCGAGUCAUACAGUGAGUUCCCGUUCUGAGUUGACUUCUCCUUACUCCGAGUCAAGUCAAACGACUCGCCUCCGAGUUCCAUGAGUGAUCGAAACUCUUCCUCCGCACGGAACAUGGCCUGCUGAAGUAUAUCAUCGGCGCGUACAAGACACGCGUUGACGGUCUUAUCAUCAGAGAGAGGACUCCAGUCUUCAAUAACGGAAACAAGCUCGUCAACGGCAGCAAGAAAGGCGGCGGAAUUAUAACAGAUGAAAUCUUCCGACGAAAGAUGAUUCGAAAUCUGACGGUCGAGAGAGUUAAUAGUUUGUUCAAGUGCAGCGUAGCGUAUGGAAUCAUUCCCUGCACCUUCGUCGGAUAGUUUCUCUUUAGAGAAUCUACCGUCGAAGUUAGAGAAUAUUUGGAGGAUAUCAUCGGCCAUGUUGUUGUUGUUGUGGCCUAGCGUUUUUGCUAUGUGGCGCGCCACAGCGAGUAAUUUCUCUUCACCGUUUUCAGACAUUUUGGUGAGUUAUUAGACCUUAGUUAGAAGUGAAGGAGAAGAAGUGGUGAGUUAUUUUAGGAGAGGAGAUGGAAUGACGAAAAUGUCCUUGGGAAGACGCGGUUUCUGGUGGAAGGCUAAGUGAGAAGAGUGAAGAGGAUAAAGUGGAGAGAGAGUGGUAAUUGCCGUUGGAAAGGACGUGACGGGAACGUGGAAAGCGGUUUUCAUGAAUCGUUUCGUUAGUUUCGCAGCUUUUUCUGUCCUGUCUAUUUAUUACUCUUAUUUUUUUAAUAUUUUUCUUUCAAUCAUUCACGGAGUCAGGGAAGCUUCUUGCUCAAUAUACCGUUUUUACGUGUUUUCCCCUUGACUGCUUCACCGUCGACUUCUUUUCCAUUUUUUUUAUGAAAUUAUUGAAUGUAUUAGUUUUUUUUUUAAAUGAUUUAUUUUCGUUAAUCAACUAUUUCGGGCAUGUUUGUUUUAAUUUUUUUUUAAAUAAUUUUUAUAGUGUUAUAUAUUUUAGUGUAAAAAAAGAAAUUAUAAAAAUUUCCAAUAAAAUUUUGGUUUGAAUAGUCAUUCUUAUGUUAUUUUAGGUAUUUUAUCUUUCUAUCAUUUUAUCGAAACUUUUUUUGUAUAUUAAAAUUUCAAAAAAUCACUUAAUUUUGAAACUAUUUCAAAUAGUUUUUCAUAAAAAUCAUUUUUGAAAUACAAUUUUUGAAAAAAUUAUGAUUUUGACUAUGUUUUGAUUUUCAAUAAUUUAUAUUUAUGUUAAAGAAUGAAUAAUUCAAUCUUUUAAUUUAUAAAAACUUAUAAUAUUUUGAAAAACAUUUUUGUAGAAUCCAUUUUCAAAAAUAUAAAGAAAAAAUCUAUUUUUUUAAAGGCAAAACAAACUGACCCUACAUCCAUGCAAUAAUAGAAGUAAGGUUAUAUUUUGUGUCAUUGUUUUUGUAAUGGGAUGUCUUCGUCGGGUUUUCUUUUAAGGCAAUACAUUUAUUUCGCCCUUACGUGUCUCAUUUUUGAAAGACUAUGUAUCGAUAUGGAUAUAUGUGAAGAAAGGAAUUUUGUUGUGUAUUUUUCUUGUAAUGAUGUACAUAUAUAUAUAUAUAAGAGUACAAGAAUCUGUAUACUAAUUACCUAUAAUUGUCUAGUCUAUAAUUGCCUAUAAUAGAGAUCCNACUUGAACAAAACCAGUUUCACUAGCAAAACCGUUACACCAAACAUACGCUGAAUAUGGCUGGCAACUGUUACGUUUACGUUUCCUGACAUAACCAUCAAGUCAUUCACCACUCCAAAUCCCUGUGCCAACCCUCUAAUUCCAAUUUGAACCUACACAUCAUUAGCCACUACUUCAAAGGGCUUGGAACCUUUCUAGCUGAACCAUCAUAGAAUGUAUUCAAAACAUCCAAUCUGUUUUUCCACUACAUAAAAGAGGUACUAGUCCCUGUCACUUCCAUAACUUCGGCCUUGAAACGAAAAAAAAAAUACAAGAGAAACAUAAACACUUGCAAACUAAAAUUUGAGAUCAAGAAGGCUCACUCUUAACUCUUAAAUACUGUUUCUUUUUUAUGAAAUGAAAUCGAACUCAGUACUCUUAGCCUUACAACACUCACAUGCACUAUGCCCCCAACCACUCGCCCUGAUGCCAGUGGUACUCUUAAUACUGUUCUAAACAUUCCAAUGUAAAGAACUUACUACAAUGGAACAGUUGAAGAAAAUCACCAAUGGGAACCUAAAUUUUACAACAAAAUGUUUGUUUAAAUUUUUCUACUACGAUGGUGUUAACUUCAGAGUAUAAAUUCCAGCAGAAUCUGAACAGAAAAACAUAGAAUGGUAUAUAUAGAUAGAUAGCAAAUCUGGCUACAUUAAUCACAUCCAAAACUUUGUAUCCUAAUUACACUACAAAUUCAUACAUUCAUACAUAUACACACAAUAAUCUAUAGCCCUUUAC
rnacentral:lncRNA from 1 species